UACGUAGGGUGCAAGCGUUAAUCGGAAUUACUGGGCGUAAAGCGUGCGCAGGCGGUUGUGCAAGACCGAUGUGAAAUCCCCGGGCUUAACCUGGGAAUGGCAUUGGUGACUGCACGGCUAGAGUGUGUCAGAGGGGGUAGAAUUCCACGUGUGAGCAGUGAAAUGCGUAGAGAUGUGGAGGAAUACCGAUGGCGAAGGCAGCCCCCUGGGAUAACACUGACGCUCAUGCACGAAAGCGUGGGAGCAAACAGG
rnacentral:rRNA from 1 species